rnacentral:rRNA from 1 species
GACGAACGCUGGCGGCGUGCUUAACACAUGCAAGUCGAACGGAAAGGCCCUGCUUUUGUGGGGUGCUCGAGUGGCGAACGGGUGAGUAACACGUGAGUAACCUGCCCUUGACUUUGGGAUAACUUCAGGAAACUGGGGCUAAUACCGGAUAGGAGCUCCUGCUGCAUGGUGGGGGUUGGAAAGUUUCGGCGGUUGGGGAUGGACUCGCGGCUUAUCAGCUUGUUGGUGGGGUAGUGGCUUACCAAGGCUUUGACGGGUAGCCGGCCUGAGAGGGUGACCGGCCACAUUGGGACUGAGAUACGGCCCAGACUCCUAAGGGAGGCAGCAGUGGGGAAUAUUGCACAAUGGGCGGAAGCCUGAUGCAGCAACGCCGCGUGCGGGAUGACGGCCUUCGGGUUGUAAACCGCUUUCGCCUGUGACGAAGCGGGAGUGACGGUAAUGGGUAAAGAAGCACCGGCUAACUACGUG